rnacentral:lncRNA from 1 species
UAGAUAACAUUUAGCUAGACUUUGGACUUGGAAUUGAUGCUGGAAUGAGUUGAGCCUUUUGGAGAUGUUGGGAUGAGGUGAAUGUAUUUCGCAUAUGAGAAGAAUGUGAAUUUGGGGGAGCUAGAUGGCAGAAUGUUAUGGACGGAAUUGUGUCCCCCAAAUGUACAUGUUGCAGCCCCAACCCCCCACGUGACGGCAUUUGGAGAUGGGACCUUUAAAAAAGAAUCACUAGAUGUGAACAUGUGGAAUGAAUAAGCAAGGGGGUCCUACUGUACAGCACAGGAAACUAUGUCCAAUCUCUUAGCGCAGAACAGGAUGGAAGAUAGUAUGAGAAAAGCAAUGUAUGGAUAUGUAUGCCUGGGUCACUGCUGUACAGCAGAAAUUGAUACAACACUAUAAAUCAGCUGUAAUAUUUUAAAAAUAUUUUUAAAAAGGUCCUUAAGGUUAAAUGGGGGAGUUCCUAUCGUGGCGCAACAGAAAUGAAUCUAAUUAGGAACCAUGAGGUUGCGGGUUUGAUCCCUGGCUUCACUCAGUCAGUUAAGGAUCUGGCGUUGCCAUGAGCUGUGGUGUAGGUCACAGACGCGGCUUGGAUCUGGCGUGGCUGUGGCGUGGGCUGGCGGCUACGGCUCCAAUUUGACCCUUAGCCUGGGAACCUCCAUAUGCCGUGGGAGUAGCCCUAAAAAAAAAAAAAAAAGUUACAUGAGGUCAUAAGGGUGGGGCCCUAAUCCAGCAGUACUGACAUCUUUAUAAGAGACACCAGAGAGCUCUCUCUGUCCUCAUGUACACAGAGAAAAGGCCAAGAAGGUGCAUCUGCCAGCAGAGGAGGGAGUCUCAGCAGAAACCAAACUGGUCGGCACCUUGAUCUUGAUUUUGAUCUUCCAGCCUCAAGAACUAUGAGAAAAUACAUUUCUGUUGUUUAAGGUUCUCAGUCUAUAAAUAUUUUGUUAUGACAGCCUGAACAGACAAAUGCAAUUCCCCACAACAAUUGAUGAGUGAGCGGCUCAUGCAGGCUUGGAGUUGAGUUGUUGCAUUCAGUGAUCCAAUUACUCAGCCUAUAUUUAAGUUCGACUAUGUGUCAGACACUAUUAGACUCUGGGUUUCAGUGGCAAGCAACACGGUCACAGUUCCUGUCCUUGUGGAGAUUAUUUUUAUUUUAUUUAUUAUUAUUAUUAUUUUGCUUUUUAGGGCCGCACCUGCAGCAUGUGGAGGUUCCCAGGCUAGAGGUCCAGUCGGAGCUGUAGCUGCUGGCCUAUGCCAGAGCCACAGCAACACCAGAUCCAAGCCCGUCUGCGACCUACACCUCAGCUCUCGGCAACGCCAGAUCCUUAACCCACUGAGUGAGGCCAGGGAUGGAACCUGCAUCCUCAUGGUUCCUAGUCAGAUUUGUUUCCUCUGUGCCACGACGGGAACUCCUCCUUGUGGAGUUUAAAGUCAUGUGAGGGAGAUGACCUUCGUCAGUUAAUAACUCACAAGACAUAAAAUCAUAACAGUGAUGAGUGCUAUGGGGGGAGGUCCCCUAGUCAGGAAGGUCAGGGAAGGAUCUUGGAGAAGUGACACCAGACUUGAGAGAUGAAGGGCGAUUAGGAGUAAACUAGGUGGAGAAGAAAAGGAAUGAUGUUCCAUGCAAAAGGAACAGCAUGUGCAAAGAGUGCUUCCACCAAGGAGGGAAUUGGAGGGUGUCCUGGGAACCAGGAGAAGGCCACCCUGUCUUUCUAGAGUGGAGAGAGGCAGGGUGGGGAAUCAGGUGGCUGCCUCAUGCUGGGAAGACCUCUGCAUGACUUUAUCAUACGAGCGGCAGAAAGCCACUGAGCUGUCUUCAGCUGGGAGCUGUCCUGGUCAGAGUGGCGUUGAUGGGCCUGGGGCCAACAGAGACCAACAUGGAGGCUGUUGCAGGGUCUGGGGGAGAUGUGCUGGGGGUUGGGCCAGAGUGGUAGCAACGAGGUGGAGGGAAGGGCAGGCUGGAGAGCUAUGUAUUAAGGUAAAACAGCUGGCCUUUGGUGCUGCAGUGUGUAUGGGAGGUGAGGCUGGGGAGGAGUUAGGGAUGACCUCAAGUCCUUGAAUGGAGCACCUGGGAUGGUGGGGCCACCCAGUGAGGGAGAGAAGAUGGGGAGGACCAGGUCAGGGAGGGGGGCAGCCACUUACGGACUGGGUGAACGGGGCGAUGUCUGCAGAGUCUGGCUCAGAGCAGGGGCUCCUGCGUAUCUAGGCCCCCGCCUUUCCCUCCAGCGGUGGAUUAAACAGGUGCUACUGUCCCCAUUUUACUUUAUUUUUUUUAUAAUUUGCAUUUUUAAUUUUUUAUUUACUUAUAUUUAAUUUACUUUUUAUAUAUACGUAAAACCUUUAAUAGUUGGUAAGGAGGAACAAAGAACUAGCUCCACAUCCUGGACAAUCUACCAUCCUAUCCUUAGGGGCUUUGGUUAGUUAGAUCAGCAGUGGUGAAGAAUAUGGAUUCAGUAAUCCACACGUCUCCCUCGUGGGUGGCAGCACGACUGUUCACUAUUACCUCCAGACUGUAUCCCUAGCUUUUAUUGAUUUAUUUUUAUGAUUUUUAUUUUUUCCAUUUUUGCUGAUUUACAGUGUUCUGUCAACUUUUUGCUGCACAGCCAGGUGACCCUGUCACACAUACAUGUAUGCAUUCUUUUUUCUCACAUUAUCAUGCUCCAUCACAAGGGACCAUAGUUCCCAGUGCUAUGCAGCAGGAUCCCCUUGCUUAUCCAUUCCCUUACUGUCCCCAUUUUAAGGAUGCGGAAGCUGAGUCUCAUCCAAAGUCCCACAUUGUUGGAAGCAGGCUCACAGAGAGGUCAUGGGAAGGACAUUGCCUUUCUGCCAGGCUGCCCUGAACAUCGGUUUGCAGAUCCUGAGAGCUGCCAUGAUCCAUUUAUCAGCUGCUCAGUCACCAUCACAGGCCUGGUGUGAGGUGGGAAGAGGGGACAAAGUUCCGGCAGGAAAUGCAGUUGGGGGAGGGGACAGAGGCGUGUUGGUGUGAGGGUAGGCCCCGAGUCCUUAGAAGGGCAGGAAGUGAAAUACCAAACAGCCAACUUCCAAAAUGUAGUGUCCUCACAAAGUUUGUUUUCCAUUCACACAAAGUCCAGGAUGGGCGCUCUGAUUGGCAGGUGGCCUGCCUCUGGGUGGAGAGGCCCCCUGGCUCUUUCCAUCUGCGGCUGUGCCAUCUUCUAGAGCAAGAGGUCAAGGCAGGGGGCGGAGAGGUGGAUGGGGCACAUCUGCUUCUCAACAUCCUCAGCUCAGAAGAGAUACAGGUUGCUUCUUCUCAUGCUCUACCAGCUCAAUGGCAAAGGAGCUGGAAACAUCCUCCAAACGGGUGCCUAGGAAGAGGAGACAAUGAGUUUAGUGCCAAGCCUUGUUGAGAAGGGACAUUUGAGCAAAGACAGAUGCUGACAUAUGAGGACACUUGUGGAAGGGCAAAGGGAGCAGCAGGUACAAAGGUCCUGUGGUAGAGCUGGCCCACCGCGUUCAGGGCCGAAUUGUGUGUUUUUUUUUUAAAUUGCCUCACCGAUGGCAUUAGGAAGUUCCCAGGCCAGAGAUCGAACCCACACCACAGCAGCAACCUGGGCUGCUGCAGUGACAAUGCUGGAUCCUCAACCUGCUGUGCCACAGAGGAAUUCCAGGACCCCAAUGUAAACAAUCCAGGCAGAGAUGGUGGCAGUAGCAGCGCGUGGGGCGCGGGGAGAAGUGAUGAGGCUCUGAAUCCAUCUGUAGGCAGAUCCCUCCUUUCCUUGCUUCCCUCCUUUCUCAGUUUUCUAGAAGGGAUGAAAGAAGACACACUGAGGCCUGUCUACUUCUGUGCCCUUUUCUGGAGGGUAAACCCCAUGAGGGCAAGGACCGGGCCUGACUGCUCUCCUCGCCCUCACGCCUGGCACCGGGAGGGCCCAAGGCCAAUGUCUCUAAUGUGUCCACGGAGCGAAGGUACAUCCCCCUGAGUCAUCAGUUUCCCGGGGCUGAGCCCCGGCCCUGCUGGUCAGCAUACUGCUCAGUGACCUGGAAGUCUUUCCUGGGGCCCGGCCACCCCCACCCCGACUCUGAAAAGACCUCCCACAGGAGGUCGGGGGAUGCGGACGAAGGAGAUGGGGCUCAGAGUUGUGAGGGCAUCAUGGGGACUUCUGCUGGGAAGACGACAUCACAGGUGCUUCACAGGGUCUUGGAUGUGCCCACCUGCUGGGUGCAGGAAGUGACCGGAGGCACUGACAGCUGUGCCAGGAGAGACCCCGGCUCGGUGCGGAAGCUUGCCUUGCCCCGCACCUUCCUUGGUGUGUGGAUGGACCCCCAGCGGCCUCUGAGGGGCCUCUCGAGCUUGGUCCCCGGGGUGCCCUUUACCCACUGUCCUGAGACACCUUUCCUGCAACACCCCUCACCCUGACCUUUUACAGACCCCUGGGGGCAGCUGCUGUUUCCAGCGACUCAGGCUCUGGGUGUCUCAGAGCCCCCGCCUUCAAUUCAAAACGUUGCUGCAGGCUUCCGGCCUUCUCCUGAAGCCCGUUCUGAGAGCUGAGUUUCCUGUGCUCUCACGCCACAAAUUAACUGCCUUUGCACUUUUCCCACAGGUUUUCACUCGUUCUUGUGGCAGCCAUGAAGGGGUGGUGGUUACAAGCGUGUGAACUCUGGAAUUAGACAGAUUGGAGCCGUGUCGUAGCUUCUCCCCUUACGAAUGGUCACAGGAGCAAAGCCCUCUGAGCCUCAGUUUGUUCAUCUGUAAAAUGAGGACAGUCAUUGUAACGAUCUAAGAGCUCGAUUGUGAAGAUUAAAUUGAGGAAGUGACAAAACGCCUAGAACCAUAAUGAAUGCAGUUUUUUUUGGUUUGUUUGUUUGUCUUUUUAGGGCUGCACCCACGGCAUAUGGAGGUUCCCAGGCCAGGGGUCAAAUUAGAGCUGUAGCUGCCAGCCUACGCCAGAGCCACAGCAAUGCAGGGUCUGAGCCGAAUCUGUGACCUACACCACAGCUCACGGCAACGCCUUGGGAUCCUUAACCCACUGAGCGAGGCCAGGGAUCGAACUUGGGUCCUCAUGGAUGCUAGUCAGAUUCGUUUCCACUGAGCCAUGAUGGGAACUUCCUGAAUGCAGAUUAUUAUUACCCUUAAUAGCAACCCCGAAGAGAGGCAGGGCUCUCAGUGCAGGCCAGCAGCCCGGCCGGCUCCGAGCCCGCUCCUGCUUCCACCAGCCUCUCGGGCAAGUUCCACUUCAGGCCAGAGCCAGAUGAGAAAGCUCUGCGUGUGCUGAGCCUUCGGGGGAGACUGAGAACAGCUGAAUCCAUGAAUGAUGCCUCUGCAGGUGCCAGGGCCCCAUGGCCCCACCCUCACCCAGUGCCAGCGCUCUGCCCGCCAGACCCUUGUCAGCGGUUACAACCUCCAACUGCCUCCCGCUGCCCCAGUUUUAUCAAAAGCUCAGUUGAGAGAAAAAGUUCAUGGGGGUUAUUUAAAGGCCAUGCAUUCCAUCCAUUCUUCCAGAUGAGACUUAUCCCUGAACCGAGUCAGCCUCUCAUGGAGCCGAGUGGCUCUUGGACCACGUUAUUUAGACACCACAGAGUCUUUCUUAUGCCCUCCCUCAUGGUGGGCCUUUCUGGAAAAUGGCCAGUGGAGUCCCUCUGUCACAUUUAUUUUGGGAGGCUGCUGUCGCUAGCUGUCACUGCCUCAGCCAGCGCUGGGUAGAAGAAUAUAUUUCAGGUUCCAGUUCCUGGCAAAGCUCUGCAUCCUCAGAGGAACCGGUGGGCUUCUGAUUAUGGGCCACGUAACUCAUGAAACUGGCCCCAAUUCUCAUGUCACUUGGGCCACCAGGAAACUCAGAGCCAAAGGUGGGGCUCCACUCUAAGGAUCCUAGAGCAUCUCUUGGCCUGUUGCAUAGAGCAGAUGAUUUCUUCCCAGAUGCUGAUUUCUAACAGCUAAGAUGGUGAUGACGAUGAUGUGUGCACCUCGUCAACUGCUUUAGGGCUCCAGUGGGACUGGAGUGGGAGUGUCCAUCCUGGAAAACAGGGAUGGAGGACCAGCCAGGGCGAGUGAAAAAGGAGGAGGGGGAGGCGAGGAAAGAGAUGGUGUGAGACCUGGUGAGGUGGGAUGAGACCGUUUCUAGGCCACUUCGGGGUUGGUUAAGGGUCUAGCGUCACUCACCCGUAGAGGGUGAAAAGAGGAUUUUCCAUGAAUUUGUGAAGACAACCACAGCUGAGGGCUGAGGAGUCCGGACCCCUCACGGAAAGCGUAGCAGCAGAGUAUCGAACAUGAAUCGAAACUGCUACUGUCUGCCAAACACUUAGGGACCAUUAUCAUUGCCCUUUGAGUGGAUUUAUUUUCAUGAGUCAUAUGCUUCAGCAGCUCACUGUCCUAGCCAGGCCCCUUCACCUGUCUGUUUAUCUAUCCUCUAGGCUUCAACUCCAUUGACAUUUGGGGUCAGAUAUUUCUUUGUUACGGGGGCUGUUCUGGGCAUUAUGGAGUGUUCAGCAGCAUCCCUGGUCUCUAGCCACUAAAUGCCAAUAGCACCCCCACCUUAUGACAACAGAAAAAGUCUCCAGACAUUGCCCAANNNNNNNNNNNNNNNNNNNNNNNNNNNNNNNNNNNNNNNNNNNNNNNNNNNNNNNNNNNNNNNUCUGUCCCAUUCGUCACUUGUACCUCCCUCUCUGAUACAUUAACCGGUACCCUGUUCGCGUUGGUUCUUGCAGCUGUUAACUGCCUGCUUGUAUCCUUUGCUCAGUUUUCCAUUCAGUCUGCCAUCUCCUUCUUUGGCUUUGUGAAGGGUGGUUUUUGGAAUUUCCACUAUGGUACAAUGGGAUCUGUGGCAUCUCUGGAGUGCUAGGAUGCAGGUUCGAUCCCCAGCCCAGCACAGUGGGUUAAGGAUCCAUCGUUGCCGCCACUGUGGCUUAAGUUGCAACUGCAGCUCAGAUGUGAUCCCUGGCCCAGGAACUCCAUAUGUCAUGGGGUAGCCAAAA